rnacentral:tRNA from 1 species
UCCCUGGUGGCUCAGAUGGUAAAGCGUCUGCCUGCAAUGCAGUAGACUCGGGUUCAAUUCCUGGAUUGGGAA